AGAGGCGCGUGGCCCACAGACUUUGUGCGCUUGUAGGUGUAGGCGACGGGAGCCCAUCUCUCCCCUCCUCAAAAGUGCCUUCAUCCCACACACCACACCACACCACACCAUACCACACCACGACACAGCGACGCCGACAGUCACCGACUGCGCUCAGAGAGAGAGAGAAGCAAGGAUCGAGAAUGGGCCGCGCAUCCAAGGAUAAGCGCGAUAUCUACUACCGCAAGGCCAAGGAGGAGGGCUACCGUGCUCGCAGCGCGUACAAGCUGCUCCAGAUCCAUGAGGAGUUCAACAUUCUCGACCCGGCCGAGAUCCGCACCGGGGCGGUGGACCUGUGUGCCGCGCCUGGCAGCUGGUCGCAGGUGCUUGCCCAGCACUUUAAGAUGAUCGGCGCGAACCUCACUGCUGCUGCAGAGGGGGACUCUCUGCCGGCGCAGACGCCGCGCGUGGUGGCGGUGGACCUGCAAGAGAUGGCCCCCAUCGACGGGGUCACCCUUCUUCAGGGGGACAUAACGAGCGAGGUGACCGCGAGGGAGAUUAUUCGGCUUCUGAACGCGCCGACGCCGACUGGGGUGGCGCUCACCGAUGACGAGCAGCAGCAGCCUGCCAACAGCUCUUUCUCUUCGCCUGCUCCUUCUCCCGCGCUCGGUGCGUCGCCGCGGAAGGCGGACAUCGUCCUCUGCGACGGCGCUCCCGAUGUGACGGGUAUGCACGAGCUGGACGAGUACCUGCAGCACCACCUGCUUCUGGCGGCGCUGCACAUCACCACGUUCGUGCUACGGGCCGGUGGCUGCUUCCUGACGAAGAUGUUCCGCGGCCCCAACACCGCCUUUCUCGUCGCGAAAAGCGGACUCUUCUUUCAGCAGGUGCGCGUCGUGAAGCCCAAGUCCUCACGCAACGCGUCCAUGGAGAGCUUCCUCCUCUGCCAGGGCUUUCGCAUGCCGCUCGGGUACGUGCCUCGCUUCGUCGGCGCUGUGGCGCCUGCUGCGGCUUCCUCUGCCGCUACCGGCUGCUCGAGGGGUGCCGCAUCGACGAGCGCCGGCUGCGGCUCACGCGUAGAGGCUGAUAAUGAGCAGGGUAUGAAGGGAGAGCGGAGCGAGACGGCAACCGUGAGCGACGGCCCACUCCGCGCCAGCGGCUUCACGCCGGAGGCGCCGUUGUACUGCUACGAUACGACCGCGUCUUUCUCACACGCGUCGGAUGGUGGCGCCGCCGCAGCGGCAACAGUGCACGACGUGGCGCACCAUAACCAGCGCACAUCGUGCGCGCUCGCGGACCGAGUCCUGGCCCCGUUCCUCUCCUGCGGCGACCUUUCAGGCUUUGACGCGGACAUGUGCUACGACAGGGAUGAGGAUGCCGACGUGCUGGAGCCGGUGCAGCCGCCGCUGCAAGCACCGUACUUGGCCGCUGCCGCUGCUUCGCCGUCACAGUUGGCAGAGGUUGCCGAUGGCCGUGACACAGAGGCGGACGCGUCGCAGAAGAAAAAGAUUCGCGUGGAGUCGCCGACGGCUACCGCAGGUCGCGACAGCAGCACCGGCGGAGAAGAGCAGCAGUGAGGUGUCACCUCCUCCCCCUCCCCCUCUACCCUGGCCGGCGCGCGCGUCUGUCUUCUCUUCCCGGCCAAGGAAGGCUCGAUGGGGCGCAUGCGUCGCGGAUGAGGAGGUCCGCUCGCACAUACCUUAAGUGAAACACUUGAUAGCAGCAGCACACAACACAGAACUCAAUCCAGGCCUCCGUCCUGACGUGCGCGCGUGUACGGGGAGGCAUCCUCCCCCACAUCGCGCCCUCCCUCGACACUCUUC
rnacentral:misc_RNA from 1 species